rnacentral:misc_RNA from 1 species
CUCUUUUGAACAAUUAUAAACCAACUUAUCGACGCAAAUAUACUACGCAAAUGUUGUUUUGGACGAAGGAUUCAAGUUAAUCGCAAACACGUAUUUGUGUCGGGAACACAAAUGUUUCUGUGAGCAGCCCGAGAAGGGCGGUGUGAGGUUGUGCCCGCGAAGGACGGCGAAGACGGGAAGCCUGAGUAGGGCGGUAUUUUUCACGGGUCUUGAACGAGCGCUUCGACGUUGCAGCCACUGGUAAUGCUAACGCGCAUCAUCGAUGAGUAUGGGACGGGCGACGCCCGAGGUGGAUCACGACGGGUUUGAACGGGUCUGCGUGAGGUCCAGUUCAAGUCGCCACCAGCGAG